rnacentral:tRNA from 1 species
CACGGGAAAUGGUCGGGAUAGCUCAGUUGGUAGAGCAGAGGA